rnacentral:lncRNA from 1 species
GAUGUAGAAACUUAUUAAACCCUUAUUCGAAACAAUGGGAAAAAGUAGAAAAAUAAAAAUUAUGUUAGCGGGCUUACGUGAUUAUACUAAGAGAAAACUCGCAUUAUAUGUUAAAAAAAUGUAAAUAUUGUUUAGCAUAACAAACAUAUCGAUUAACUAUAUUUGCAGAAAAUUAGAAAUCCCACCAAAGACGCAUACACAUUUAUGACAGCUCUAAAAUGUUAUAUCGCAAAAAUACAAACACAGUUAUGACAGUUCUAAAAUGUUAUUUUUCAAAAUACACAUACACAUUUAUGACAGUUUUUAAAAUGUUAUGACAUUCUGUAAGGGGGUUUAUGUAACUAUAAUAUGAGAAAACUCGCAUUAUAUGUUAAAAAAGUGUAAAUAUUGUUUAGCAUAACAAAUAUAUUGAAUAACUAUAAUUGCAGAAAAUUAGAAAUCCUUCCAAAGAUACACACACUCACACACACACACACAUUGAUGAUAGUUAUAAAAUGAUAUGAUAUUCUAUACAUUACAAUAUUGAUUAUAAAAAAUGAAAAAUAUAUAUGUUUAUGCGUUCUAUAGCAUAGUGUAAAAUAUAAUUUGAUAUAAACCAUUGAAAUUAAUACUAAAAAAUUCAUAUGAUACUAUGAAUAUAUGAAAGUAUUAAAAAAAAAAAAAAGAAAAAAAAAAAAAAAAAAAAAAAAAAAAAAAAAAAAAAAAAAAAAAGCAUUUAUGAGAAUUAUAGUACAAAAUGUAUAUAUAUAUAUAUAUAUAUAUACACAUAAUUUUUUUUAUUGUUUUAAAGAGAUAUAUGAGAAAAUAACAUAAUUCCAAGAUAUCUGAUAUAAAAAUUUAUUUCUUUUGUUUCUUUCUGAUUGUUAAAAUAACGAAAAAUAACAAAGAUACAGUUUAUUUAUUUUUAUAUAUAAAAAAAUAAAAUAAAAUAAAAGCAAUAUAAACA